rnacentral:snRNA from 2 species
AUCGCUUCUCGGCCUUUUAGGGCUCUGAUCGUUUUGUAGUAUCUGUUCUUAUCAGCUUAAUAUCUGAUACGGUCCCUAUAUGGGUCCGUGAUAUUAGCCUUAUUUUUGUAACUUGGCGGGGUUGCUGGGCUUGCCCAGGUUCCUGCCAGGGUCUGCCCGGUAUUGCACUACAACCGGGAUUGGCCCAGUUCCU